AACUCUUCUAUUACCUACAAAUGGAUAUCAACGAAAUAUCAAAUGGAAAUGACUUUCUUCUUAUCUGUUAAACCCAAAAAUAUUUAAAAAAAAAUAAUAAUAAAUUGAAUCUAUAGAUGAUCAAUUAUUCAUAUUCCUAAAAUGGUCCUUAUCUGAUCUGGAGGAUGUCUUGCCAAUGAUUUGGGUUCUGAGCAACCAUUCUUGGGAUCCAGUAUUACUUUGUAAAUAAGCUCAUAAGCUUCGGCAAGGGACUUCGCCACUUGAAUAGAAGCUUCAGAACGCAACUUUGGAACCUGUAUCUGCUCAAAUUCAGGAAGGGAACUCUCGCUUCCUAAAAUAAGUCCGAAGAAACUCCUCAAAGACUCGGAAAGAGAAGCUGGAGAAGUGUCUUCAUUCUCUGCCAGUGGAGUACCAACUGCUUCAUUGCCAAGUGAAUUACGAAAGUGAGACAUCAUAUCCGACAAGCCACAUCUUCUUAGAAUAGCAUCCACUUCUUUAGCAACAAGAGCAUGCAUGUGAUUUUCUAUUAUUGCUCCAAGUUUCUUUACAUAUUCAGCUGCAACCUCAUGCCCAGAUAGCGGUUGCUGGAUGGCACACAAGCAGUUGAUGAGGAAUAUCUUGGAAGGUGUUUCACUAUUCUGAGAGGAUGGGGCAGAGCUGCUAUUUGACAAAAGUGCAUCAACUGAUGAUUUAUUAAUUUGGACAGAGUCUGAACUCAUUCUUCUUCUUGUCAAGUGGCCAACACCCUUGGACUUGUGUGCCUCUGCAGCUUUCUCACACAUCUGCAGUGAUUAGUAGCAAAACACAAAACUCAAGUUAUAUUAUUAUAAUAUUAAAUUACUCCCCAAGAAAUCACCCUGGUGGUGGUCAUGAGACAUACACUAGAAGAACUCAAGCUCAAAUUGCUGCAGGGGGUAGGGCUGGUUCAUAUUUUAUAGAUAGAGUGAGUGACCCAUGUAGCAUAGCUCAAAAAAAUAAACCCUUGAAUUAAAGUAGUUGUGUCAAUAUGGAGCAUUUAACAGCAGGUCUGAAAACAUGAAUCAGUUUCAAAAGAAUGAACCAAAUGAAUACAAAAACGGCUCAGAAUGUCAACUAAUCAGUACUUUACGUAGAAUAGAUGGCAGGUAUUCUUCUUCAACUGCAACAAGCAUAUUUAGAUCAACAGUAAAUUAUAACAUUCUAAUAUAAGCUAAAAGAUCCAAAUUUUAUGUUACAAAACUAUGAUGCAUCGAGUAUGUCACAAAACCUGAGCCAAUAACAAACCUGAAUGAUAGGAUCAAGUAUAGCAGAUAUCACAGGAUCAAAAUCAGGCUUUUUCUCUGAAGCAGGAACCAUCAUGCUGUCAUGAGUCUCAAUUAUUUCAAGUAGAACAGAGACUCCUUCCCGCACUGCUUCAGGUGGGGAAAGAUCAACAGCAACAAGGGGAGGAUAGCGUAAAAGCUUCUCCCCCCGACUUUUGAGAAUGUCAAAAAAUGUUUUCUGUGCAGCAUCCUUGAGCAUCGAAAGUGUACUAUAGAGCGCUGUAUCUCUCCCAAGCAAAUCUGAUAUAGUGUAGCUGUAAAAUCCCAGUGUAUUACUCAGUUUGUAUGCAAUUAUAAGACUAGGCUGUGACUGCAAAACUUGUUCAACUCUAACUUUAAAAGGCCGGCAAACUCCUUCAAAAAUUCUAUCCAACACAAAUGUCAAGUCUGAUUGUGUCUUUCCAGUACCAUUCUCCAAAUUCUUGGGCAAUCGAUUUGCAGAGGAUCCAGCAUCUACCACAGCAUCUGGAUCAAGUAACACAAGAACAAGUUCUCGUUCAGAUGCCAAGGCCUGAUGUAACCAUCCUAGCAUGUCACCCACAUAUCGUAAUGGAUCAUGUGCAUGAACCUCUAUUGGUCUAGGUAGUCCACCAGGACCUCCACGUGUAAGAGCACUUAUGAACCUUCUAAACAAUGCAUUGUGCCUCAUAUUUGCCACCUCUUCUGCACAAUACUUGAAAAGGACAGGCCUUUCGCUGAGGCAUCGGACUGCUAUUUUUAAAAGUUCACCAACUUCAGGAUUAUCAGCAUCACCCAAUUUCCUACACUCCGCCUGAACCCACCUGCAUAGACGCUCAUACGCUCCUUCUUGGUACACUGCCAUCAUAUCCAUGAGCUCCAAACCAGCGCGCUGAUGAUGCGUCCUUAGUAGUAUUUUGCAAUUGGCAUGAAUUUCUUGAACAUGAGAUAGUGCCUUGAAGAAAUUUUCAUUUAAGUCUUCAUCCCUCAAUGCAUUUAUCUCUUCAUUAGAGAGCUGAUAAUCACGAAGGAAGCAUGACACAAUCUCUUGUCUUUGUGUAGUAAUUUCAAGUUCUUGUUUAAGCCUCUCCGUGGUGCUGAUAAUAUCUCCUGUGCUAGCACUACAACUGUUCAAAGCCUUUGCAAUCUCGUCGCAGCAUUCAGCUAGAGCAUUAACUUCCUCCUCCACACGAUCUAAAGCGAGCUGAGCAGCGUUGGAAGCAUGAAGAAACUGGAGGUUGAUAGAGAGAGAACGUUUCUCGAUGGUGGAUCUGAGAUUGCGACGAGCCUGAGGAGAGUUGUCAGAGUAGAAAGUAGAGAGAGUGUUGAGAGAAGAAACAAGAUCCGGAGUGUCCGUACGACAUUCCAAAACUUUCUUCAGCUUCCGUGACAAUCCCGGCGCCACUCCCACCGCCGUUCCCAUUUUCUUCUUUCUUCACAAAUUAGAUCCGACUUCUGCACAAAUAGCCGAAGUUAAAUGUUUAAUAAAUCUUUCAAAUAUGGAUUAAUUAUAUAAAUAAUGCGUUUUUAAAAAUAUUUUACUAAAAUAAUUUGAAGCUAAAAUUAUUUAUUAAUACGGUGCGUGACUGUGAAAAUAUCAACUCAAAAAGUAAUUUAGUAUUUCAAACAAAAAUAUAAAACUAUCAAUACAAAAG
rnacentral:misc_RNA from 1 species